GAGUCUGAUCGUGGCUCAGAGUGAGCGCUGGCGGUAGGCCUAACACAUGCAAGUCGAACGGCAGCACAGCAGUAGCAAUACUGUGGGUGGCGAGUGGCGGACGGGUGAGGAAUACAUCGGAAUCUACUCUGUCGUGGGGGAUAACGUAGGGAAACUUACGCUAAUACCGCAUACGACCUACGGGUGAAAGUGGGGGACCGCAAGGCCUCACGCGAUUGAAUGAGCCGAUGUCGGAUUAGCUAGUUGGCGGGGUAAAGGCCCCACCAAGGCGACGAUCCGUAGCUGGUCUGAGAGGAUGAUCAGCCACACUGGAACUGAGACACGGUCCAGACUCCUACGGGAGGCAGCAGUGGGGAAUAUUGGACAAUGGGCGCAAGCCUGAUCCAGCCAUACCGCGUGGGUGAAGAAGGCC
rnacentral:rRNA from 1 species